rnacentral:lncRNA from 1 species
GAUGUUUAAGCUUCGGAAACAGAGUUCGGAAAAAUUCCGAACGGACGAAAAAUAAACUGAAGAAGUUGCAGAAACCAAUUACCAUGAUGGCCGACUUUUGACCACUGACCAAUAAGAAUCGAGAGAAAAAGAGGAGGUUGGGCGACUGCUCUUGUCAUUUCGUUCGCCAUUUUCUCUAUGGCAUGUAUGGCACACGCUAUGGCCUGCCAUGGCGAUCAAAGAAAAAGUAAUGAAUUUAAUUCUGUAUGGGUUUGAAUAUCAAAUUGUGACAGUGCUUUUCUUUAUUUACACAAGACGCCUUUAUCAGAUUAAAGACGAGGAUUAUCUUAGUUUUACUACUGUGUAACAUUUCAGGAUACCUUUAAACGCAACAAGUUUUCAUGUGGAUGGACCUGAUUGACAUGAUCUAACACUUUAGGCCAGCCACAUGCCACAACCAUAAGAGCCAGUCAUCCAACCCCACCAGUCAUCUCUUUGAACUUAAGUUGUUUUUAAGGACAAAGAAAAGGCGAAAGAAAUCAGUCGAGUGAGCAUCUCCGAUAUGCAAGAGCUGUAGUGCGCCGUUCGUCACAAACUGCAUUCUUCGUCGCAUUGCUAGUUUUAAAUCAUGGUAAACUUUGGCGUCGUGCUGCUGUUGAGUGUUGUAUGGCUGACCGCUGGUUCAGCCAUGGUGUACCAAUGUCUCCUGGGUAUGGCGGAUAAGAAAUCGCACCGCCGCUACCUUACUAUACAAUAUACGACACGGCCAGUUGCUACAACAAGGCCCCCAAGUACUACACCACUAAAGCUCCAGAUUAUUAUACCACAACUUAUGCUGCCCUGAGCUACUUCACCGAAGCCCUAAGUAUUAUUCUUCCCCGAGCUACAGUACCAGAGGUUCGAGUACUACACCGAUUCUCCGAAGUACUAUACUACCAAGGCACCGGAGUACUGCACAACUACACAUGGUUGUUAAAAGAUAGAAAAGGUGAAAGAAAUCAGUCGAGUGGUCAUCUCUGACACGACAACAGCAACUGCAGUGCCAAGGAUCAGUAUUACACCACAACUUAUGUUGCCCCGAGAUACUACACCAAAGCGCCUGAGUGCUAUAUCGAGGCCACUUAUUACUACACCACUAAGACAUCGGAUUAAUACACUGCAACAUGCGCUGCCCCAGCUUAUUACACCGAGGCUCCCCAACACUACACCCCCAAGGCACCGGAGUGCUACACCACUACAUAUCAUGGUCGUAUGAAAGGAGAGAAAAGGUGAAAGAAUUCAGCAGCUGAGUGAGCAUCUCCGCUACAGCAACAGGAACUGCCGUGCACUAGUUGUCAUCAACUUCAUUCUUCGUCGCGUUACAAGUGUUAAAUCAAGUUAUAACUAUGGCGUCGUGCUGCUGUUGGGUGUAGUAUAGUCGAUGGCUGGGUCGACCACUGGUGUACCGAUGUCUCCUGGGUAUUGCGGGUACCAAAGCACAACACUGCCGUGCCGUCUUACUAUUUAGCAUCAACUUCCGCUGCUCCAGCUUACUACGCUGUGACUCAAGUGCACCACCAAGGCUCCAGAGUAUUACGCCACAGCUCAUGUUGCCCCGAGCUACUACACUGAAUGCCCGAAGUAUUAUUCUUCCCGGAGUAUGGCUACCUUCACCACGCCGCCUCCUUACUAGCCAACAACGUCAACACCUUCUUACUAUACAAAGACCUCAACUACUAUACCGAGGAUCUAACUUGUUACACCACCGAAAUUCUCAAGUACUGCACUACAACCUACGUUUCCCCAGCUAACACCACGAAGGCAGCGGAGUACUACACCACGAAGGCAGCGGAGUACUACACCACGAAGGCAGCGGAGUACUACACCACGAAGGCAGCGGAGUACUACACCACGAAGGCAGCGGAGUACUACACCACGAAGGCAGCGGAGUACUACACCACGAAGGCAGCGGAGUACUACACCACGAAGGCAGCGGAGUACUACACCACGAAGGUAGUCGGUUUACUUCACUACAACUUACGCUGCUCCAGAGUACUACACUACAACCUACGCUGCUCCAGAGUACUACACUGAUGUUCCAAAGUACUACAACACUAAAGGCACCCGAGUUUUACAUCACUACUUUCGUUACUACCACAUACUACACCGAAGCUUCGAAAGCACUUCUCUGCCCCGAGUUACUACACGACUAACGCAGCCGAAUGACACCCCAAACUACGAUUCCGUAAAUUUCUACAAGGAAAUUCCUUAUUACUAGAGACGAAAUUUCUACUCAAGGUUAUUUACAUUUAUCGGUUAUUUUCAUGGUAAUUGGUCGCUGGUAAUUAAAUGUUGAUCUUAAAUGAAAAAAUAAAAUUUUUAAUAGGGUAAUUCUUUUGUUAGUAACUUCAAGCCUGUCAACAUUGCGACAGGUGUCUUUUGGUGUUGGAUUUAUUCAAGGCCAGUAUGCAGUAUGCCGAGUUUUAAAUUGUUUUAUGUUUGACUACUGCCUUAGUUAGUCUGCAUACGGACAUGUUCUUGUGGUUUGACGAUGACGUUUCAAGGGCCAAAUAAGAAAGAAACUUGUAACGGUUGAUUUUUUCAAAUAUUAUAAGUAAUAGGCAAAUGGUUGACCUCUGCAUAAAUGAAAGACUUUGAAGUUGAGAAAAAUA